UACGUAGGUGGCAAGCGUUGUCCGGAUUUACUGCGCGUAAAGAGCGCGCAGGCGGUCGUUCAAGUCGCGUGUGAAAGCCCCCGGCUCAACUGGGGAGGGUCACGCGAUACUGAUCGACUCGAAGGCAGGAGAGGGUAGUGGAAUUCCCGGUGUAGUGGUGAAAUGCGCAGAUAUCGGGAGGAACACCGGUGGCGAAGGCGGUUCUCUGGGCCUUACCUGACGCUGAGGAGCGAAAGCGUGGGGAGCGAACAGG
rnacentral:rRNA from 1 species